CUAAACAGGAAACGGUUGAAAAAUGGGCUGCAUUUAUCUAUCAUUGCACAAUAACUUGUUGCGUCCCGUAUUGAUUCAAUACGGGACGCAAGUUGUUCCGUAUUUUCAUAAAUGCCCCGUACACGUCUGUCACACACUCAUCAAAACUGUCUAAUGAACAAAAUAAAACACAGCAAAUAUUAAGGGCAGCCAUUUUCGUCUUUGUAGGACCUAUGCAGCGAGGACCCGAUGCCAGGUCCAGUGGACAGACUUCAGACGUCUCUGUGUGUCCGUCCUGUCUCUGGUUGCCAGGUUACAGACGCUGCUGCACCCGCAUGUUUAAAAAUGUCUACACCUGAAACUCCACCACGUCUAAAGAAGCAAAAACGUUUGCAAAUGUACAGACUGGAGUGGGAAGAGUGGAACCCCUGGCAAUGGGUACAAGGCAAACUGUGUUUUCUGUUGCUCAUGGACUGGCUGAAGUAAGGCAGCAUCAGGAGACAAACAUGGAGGAAAUAUGAGAACAGAGAGAACCCAACCAGCAGGUCACAGUUUAUCAUCAUCUAAUCAUCUCCUGAGGUCCAUAUGGUCUCUCUCUAUCUCCCCACACAUCCACCAACCACUGGAACACAUCUCCAAAGUUCUGCUGGACCAGCUCAGCUUCCCCUCAGAAGAAGUGCUGCCACCUGCCAGAUGAAGGAGCCUUUUGAGAGGCAGCUGGCAUCGUGAUUGGACUGUACUUUGGUCUGUUCCAAUCCAGCUUCAGCUCCAGAGACGGCAGGCGGGACGAGUCAACGGAGGCCUGGUGGACGAAGGCAUGCAGCUGAGUACAAUCCAGAAAACAACAGAGGAGGAGUGCAACGGCUCAGGGCCAGAACAGAGUAGCAUCGUAUGUCUCUUAGAAAACAUCAUAGUAUAGCCUUUGGUAUGAAGAAACGCCAUCAUAUACAUCGUAUAUUGUACAAAUACCAAGUCAAAGGAAAGAGACACACAUUGUAGAAUUGUAGUAAUUGUGGGCUGACUGAUUUACUGAUUAUCAGUAUUUUAUUUUUUACUGAUUUAUGGUAAUAAAUCCAUUUUAAAA